UACAGAGGUCUCAAGCGUUGUUCGGAUUCAUUGGGCGUAAAGGGUGCGUAGGCGGCGCGGUAAGUCGGGUGUGAAAUCUCGGAGCUUAACUCCGAAACUGCAUUCGAUACUGCCGUGCUUGAGGACUGGAGAGGAGACUGGAAUUUACGGUGUAGCGGUGAAAUGCGUAGAGAUCCGGAGGAACACCGAAGGCGAAGGCAGUGUCCUGGCUGGUGACUGACGCUGAGGUGCGAAAGCUAGGGGAGCGAACGGG
rnacentral:rRNA from 1 species